UAACCUGCCCAAGAGAUCGGGAUAACACCUGGAAACAGAUGCUAAUACCGGAUAACAACAGAUGAUGCCUAUCAACUGUUUAAAAGAUGGUUCUGCUAUCACUCUUGGAUGGACCUGCGGUGCAUUAGCUAGUUGGUAGGGUAACGGCCUACCAAGGCGAUGAUGCAUAGCCGAGUUGAGAGACUGAUCGGCCACAUUGGGACUGAGACACGGCCCAAACUCCUACCGGGAGGCAGCAGGC
rnacentral:rRNA from 1 species